UACAGAGGUCUCGAGCGUUGUUCGGAUUCAUUGGGCGUAAAGGGUGCGUAGGUGGCGCUGUAAGUCGGGUGUGAAAUCCUGAGGCUUAACCUCGGAACUGCAUUCGAUACUGCGGCGCUUGGGGACUGGAGAGGAGACUGGAAUUCAUGGUGUAGCAGUGAAAUGCGUAGAGAUCAUGAGGAAGACCAGUGGCGAAGGCGGGUCUCUGGACAGUUCCUGACACUGAGGCACGAAGGCCAGGGGAGCAAACGGG
rnacentral:rRNA from 1 species